UACGAAGGGGGCUAGCGUUGCUCGGAAUUACUGGGCGUAAAGGGCGCGUAGGCGGCACUGUUAGUCAGGCGUGAAAUUCCUGGGCUCAACCUGGGGACUGCGCUUGAUACGGCAGAGCUUGAGGAUGGAAGAGGGUCGCGGAAUUCCCAGUGUAGAGGUGAAAUUCGUAGAUAUCGGGAGGAACACCGGUGGCGAAGGCGGCGACCUGGGUAGAUACUGACGCUGAGGUGCGAAAGCGUGGGGAGCAAACAGG
rnacentral:rRNA from 1 species